CUGAAUCGAUAGGAGAGCAGAAAAUGCCUAAUGCCUGUCACCGACGAACAGUGCUGUGGGCCGCGAUUGAAUCUGAAGGAAAUCAGAUGUGCGGGAGUGAUCGAAACGUGCUAAGCUAGAGGAUCUUGCAAGAGUUUAAACGCCAUCGCGGUGGGGAUGAGAUCGAUAGGGAGAGGAAGGAAGGAAAUGGAUGCUCUGUGUCCGAGGGCGCUCCGGCAGACCUCCCUCCCCGCCCGCCCAUCUCCGACGGCACCUUCCGCGGCCCCGCUCCGCGCUCCCCCGCCACCGGUGCGACGGGCCCGCGGGAGCAGGGCCAACCGCCGCGCUUUUCCGCCGAGGAGACCCUGACCCCUUGCUCCGCGCCGCUCCGCGCCGCACCGCGGGGUGCGCGCAGCCUGCCUUUCCUACGGCGGAUGGACAAAUCGCCCAGAUUUUUUUUUUUUUUUUUUUUUUUUCCCGGGAGGGUGGGCGCUUGUACUUGUUAAUUUUUUUCUUUUCCUUGCCAGAUUUCUCUGGGUUGAUAUGUGGCAUGUUGUUUUCAUUCCUUGACUUUUUUUUUUUUUUUUUAAAUAACUCUGUGGAUUUAAAUUUUUCGAACAACCUGUGAUCCAUAUGUCUGUCCGAUUAAUUUUUUUUAUGGGAUGAUGAA